rnacentral:lncRNA from 1 species
UCGGGGCAUAAUAGAGCAAUAUAAUAAGGUUUUACUCUUUGUUCGAUAGAAUGAGAAAAAGUACUCCUUACAAAGUUAUACUGUUAAGGCGCUACUGAAUAGUCUAAUGUUGUUCCGGUUUUGAUUCUUGUGAAAGUUGACAUCGAUUUGUUCCAAAUUUACACUCUCGGGGCAUAAUAGACCAAUAUAAUUAGGUUUACUCCUUGUUCGAUGGAAUGAGAAAAAGUACUCGUUGCAAAGUUAUACUGUUAGGGCGCAACUGAGUAGUCUAAUGUUGUUCCGAUUUUUGUUCUUCUGAACGUUGACAUCGAUUUGUUUCAANGUUAAUUAAGAGAAACCAUCUCUCUUUCUCUCUAGUAUCUCCGUUUCUCUCUCUCUCUCUUUUCUUCGAACGAGAGGUUCGGAGAGAGCCAAACCCGUGGUUUCUCUUUUCUCACGUUCAAGUGUAUAUAUAUAUAUAUAUAUAUCUCUCUCUCUCUCUCUCUCUCUCUCUCUCUCUCGUCCCGACGACACGAGAUCCCUCGUGCCUCCGGAGGCACGAGGACUCGGCAAAAGCUACUACCUCAAAGGCUUAGUUGCUAGCCGAGGCAAUUUGAACUAGAUCGCAUAAACUUCAAAGAUCUUUUAUUAAAAACACUAAAAAGCUAUAGUAAAUGGAUCGUUAGCUUUCCUAAGUUUUAGUUAUUAAAAAUUGCCAACUUUUAUUUUUAGGAUAUUUUUCACCACUAUAUCGUGAUUUUAAAAGCUAGUCUUUAUAACUAGAACAAUAUCUAUCAUAUUUCUGAGGAGAAAAUUGGAAUUGCUUGGUGGUGUAGCAAGCUUGGUGGAGAAGAAGGCUUGGAGUUGAAGCUUCAUCUUCAUCUUCUCCUUCCUUGGUCUAAGAGGAAACUUGAGAGGUUUUCUGACGCGCUGGCGAAGUCGGUUCGGCGAUACGACGAGGUUACGCGAAGAUAUUGAAGAAAAGGCCGAUUUCGGUACAGAUUGCCGCAGCUCGUGGCGUAAGCUCCCAAAAAUCACGAAACCGGAAUCGUAGCAUCGUGACAUCACCUAAAGUCUUGGAGCUAAAAAAGUCGGGGGCACGAAGGGUCGCGUGGAGCUCUCGGUGGGUUUGACCUCGCUACAAAUGAGAAAAUCUCAUUUAUGUGGAUUUAAGUAUCGUAAAAUGGAAAAUCACGCAUUUUAAUGAAAAAUGCAUUAUUUGUGAAUUUUAAAAUGCUUGAAAUGCUUAUGUUAUAUACAAUGCAUUUUCGGACCUCUAUGUAGUAGAGAGCUUGCAUGUAAGACUUAUGCAUGGGUUUAGCAUUCUAAUUGGGACUUGGAAUCAUGCUUCAUAUAGUAGACAUGACAAAUGUGUAAUAUGCCUUGGACAUAAAUCUCAUUUGGACAUAAGAGAAUACAUUAGGCCAUAAAGUGGUUUUGGACUUGAAUAACUUGUGAGUUAGGGAGCUAAUGUCGUAAUGCGACAUCGGGCUUGAGCUAUGAAUGAGCCUAGCAAAGUAAUGCCAUAGAGAGGCAUUAGGCUUGAAUGAUAUGUGAAUUGUAUAUGCAUGUUAAUAGUAUGAGAAUUAUGCUAAGUUGGUAGUUGCAUUGGAAAGUGUAUGCAUGUAGCAUUAUGAGAACUAUGCUAUGUUGAUAGUUGUAUACGGAUGCAUUGAAACCAUAUGCUAGUGGAUAGAUGCAUGUUAAUAUUUAUAUGCAUUGUGGAAUACAUGCUAGGUACAUAUUAGCAAUGUGAGAUCAUGCUAGAGAGCAUGCGAAUUAACCUAUUAUUGAUAGGGUAAGCUAAUGUCAUAAAGAGGCAUUGGGCUUGAAAUUUGUAAGGUACAGAACUUCUUAAAUUCUGAAGUUACGGUAGGAUGUAAUAGGUUUUACUCUUUGUUCGAUAGAAUGAGAAAAAGUACACGUUGCAAAGUUAUACUGUUAUGGCGCAACUGAGUAGUCUAAUGUUGUUCCGGUUUUGAUUCUUGUGAACGUUGAAAAUUCGUUCCAAAUUUACACUCUCGGGGCAUAAUAGAACUAUAUAAUUAGGUUUUACUCUUUGUUCGAUAGAAUGAGAAAAAGUACUCGUUUCAAAGUUAUACUGUUAGGGCGCAACAGAGUAGUCUAAUGUUGUUCUGGUUUUCGUUCUUGUGAACGUUGACAUCGAUUCGUUCCAAAUUUACACUCUAGGGGCAUAAUAGAACUAUAUAAUUAGGUUUUACCCUUUGUUCAAUAGAAUGAGAAAAAGUACUCGUUGCAAAGUUAUACUGUUUGGGCGCAACUGAGUAGUCUAAUUUUGUUCCUGUUUUUGUUUUUGUGAACGUUGACAUCGAUUCGUUCCAAAUUUACACUCUCGGGGCAUAAUAGAACAAUAUAAUUAGGUUUUACUCUUUGUUCGAUAGAAUGAGAAAAAGUACUUGUUGCAAAGUUAUACUGUUAAGGCGCAACUGAGUAGUCUAAUGUUGUUCCGAUUUUGGUUCUUGUGAAUGUUGACAUUGAUUCGUUCAAAAUUUACACUCUCGAGGUAUAAUAAAAUAAUAUAAUUAGGUUUUACUCUUUAUUCGAUAGAAUGAGAAAAAGUACUCGUCGCAAAGUUAUACUGUUAGGGGGCAACUGAGUAGUCUACUGUUGUUCCGAUUUUGGUUCUUGUGAACGUUGACAUCGAUUCGUUCCAAAUUUACACUCUCGAGGUAUAAUAGACCAAUAUAAUUAGGUUUUCUCUUUGUUCGAUAGAAUGAGAAAAAGUACUCGUUGCAAAGUUAUAUUGUUAGGGCGCAACUGAGUAGUCUAAUAUUGUUCCGAUUUUGGGGACCGUCCUCUGGCAAGGACCGGUUCCGAACGUUGAAUAUCCCCUUUGCCAGUUUGUGCAGCUUUACGUGGACGGCUCAAAGGGGUCGCUCGCCCGACAAAGGUGACCACCGGUUGGUCCCUCACUGCGAAAAAUACCCAGGGAGGCUGUUUCAAGAAGUGAAAAGUGAGGGUUUUAUGUUGCAUCAAGUGGGUUAUGAGAAGAGGCUAGGCUUGUCCGCCUCUCAUCGCAUCACUUACACUUCAGUGGAUGCCCUUCUUCACGUCGUGAUGUCGUAGUCCUCCAUACUCACGACCUCUGAUGUCUACUCAUCUUCUGGCUCUCUGAAAGGUUAUAACAAAAAAGCAUCAUAUCGGAGGAAAAGAGGAGAAGUAGCAGAAGGCUAGUAGAAUGAUAGAAGGAGACGAGAUAGAGACUGAAAAAGAGCGAGAAAGAGAGGUAUUGACAACUAAGACAGGAAUGAGAAGCAUAUCACGCGAGUUACACUAUUCAUCAUCUCCUCUUGCCCAAAGCUUGGAGCUUGGUAAUGAUGUAAACCUCAACCUUUGAUGUGGUUUCAAUAGGCAGAGGUAGAAGUUUUAUAAUACGAAUAAGCGCGGUUCAAGACUGAACCUUAUUGAGCUGCAUAACUGCCAGGUCGAGAUAUGUUUCGACUCGAAAUCGAAGCUCGCAGCCGGCAGAGUAGUCGUAUCUCAUCAAUGGCCGCAUGAUGCGUGCAUUGUGCUUUUCGAUAGUCUUUCGAGAAUAGGUUGGCCAGAGCAUACUUGAACUGGGCUAUUUAAUUCAAAUUAAUUUCGGCACACCUAAAUUCUAAGGUCCCGAAGUCGUAGGCACAGACGGUGUGUCGCAUUACCGUCGAGUAGCAGUCGAAGUUAUCGCCAAGAGAGACCUUCGGAGCUUCGUGUCCAUGCCUAGAAGGCUAACGGCGUCGAGACGGUUCUAAGGCACGACACAUCGCAAUCGAAGAGCUUCCACAGAAGUCCACCCACCGAGGGGUGGAGCAUCACAGUAAAACCCACCAAAAGUCCUCACCAGGGCGAGAGUGGCGCUACACGAGCUAACCAGAAGGGUGCGGGCGAUCAACAUGGUCGGACUUCACUUUCAUGCUUUAGAUGUCUGAUGUCAUCAUCGAAAGACUUAACUAGUACGAGUUUAUUACAUAUUGUGAUAUAGUCAAUUACUUGACGGAAUUGUCUUAACCAUGGAUUAUCGCUGCAUAUCCUUGCAUGCUAAGGAUGGUAUAGCUCUGCGUUUGUUCAUCAUCGUCAAGACUGAUUUAGUAAAACAUGCAGAGGUGAGCGAUCGUUUGAGAACAGACACCCAAUGAAAAGUCGCCCUAGUCAACUAACGAUAAGAAUUAUUGUUUCAGUAGAUGAUAUAUGAACCUAGUGAUACCUUGGAACACAGUUGUAUUCAAGAACUCUGUCAAGAGAACGAGUGGCCAUCUAGUUAACCUAAACAUGAACGAGUGCAUUAAGUAGCCGGUAGGCAGCGCAAAACCUAAGAAAACUGCCUGCAGCUUGUCGAGAGACUACAUCAGUAUCAGAUAGUGAUGGAUCAGCGCCACCAAUCAAGUUGCUACUACACCGAGGCUAACCUCUCGGUGCCACGAAAUUCCGCCGAGUAUAGAUAUGCCCCCUGUUGAUCAGGGCGAUAUUACGAGAUUAUCAUGACAGAGAUUGAAUCGAGCUCACUUAGCUGCUGUCUUACACCUGUAGGACAGUAAGAAUCCUCGCACCUUCCUUACGAUGCUUUAAGUCGUUACACAACUCCCGGAGUGCUUCUUCGGCGAAGAUAUCUCGCAAGAUACUGGCGGGCCAGUGUAUGCCCUGGAGCCAGUGUAGUGUCCGCUCUCGGAAGAUAGGAUCCGGUCUCCGGGUAAGUGAUAUAGCUAGCCCACUCAUCCCCUAUGCAAGCAUCUUAGACGACGUAGAGGUACACGUAUCAGAUGUCACAAUGAAAACCCGACGGCGAGCGAAACUUGCGUUCGCCGAGAGAUACGAAACUAGAUAUUCCACAGAAUAUAGCCCGAAGAUCCUGUUCAAUCAUGUCCAUGAUGCUGACUCACACUUAGCAUUGUGUUUGAUGGAAGCAUGUAGUCCCGAAAGGCAUCACCGAGACAGCCUAGCAUUCUUACUAUGAGUUGUGCGAAGACAUUCGUAGUGGCAUCCUGAAUUAUGAGGCAUUGUAGUACCUGUGGCGAAUCUAGUUUCUAUGGACCAUCAAUUCACUCUCAGCCCGGAUCUUAAGCUGAAUGGUACCGCUUUCAGUUAAUAUAAUCUAUCUAUCUGCAUAUCUAUCUGUAGCGCGGGGCUAAGACGCUAGUGGGAGGAUCCGAUGCAAUGAGAUCUUCGGAGCAGAUACACGCCAGAACCCACUGGGAAACUAUUCGUAGUUCUCACUCGCACAGAGUACUAUCGCUGCACUGAGGCUGGCUUCCAAAGAAAGGAGACCGUGUUCAAUCUGGGCAGGGGAUACCCCUGUUUCUUACACUGUGACUUUGUUGAGGCGGCUCGAAUCGCCGGAAGGCGUAAGCGCCCUACGGGUUGACAGUGGUAAUCCAGACGAAGAGGGUUUUUCACUUAUUUAAAUAUCAAAUUUUUUCUUGACUUAGCGCCUUAUUUAGAAGACAGGGCAGCACCUCUAGUCGUCUAGGGAGAUCACACCUGGCUCUAUGACCUCCUUUAUCACCCUACCUCAGCUGGCGCCUUCCCUUUACUUCAGCUCCCAGGCAAAGCAAUAUAAGAUUAGUCAUAGCCAUCGAGGAUCGAUGGUGGUUGCCAGACACAGUGAUCUCAUACUGCGGUCAGCACGAGGUCAUCCUGUUAUCUGGUAGUCUAGAGAGUUGUAGGUACGAAUUCACAGACUACAUGGUCAUAUCCAAUGAGUGGUCGCAUUCUUAAUCUUAUGUCUAAUAUACACGGCCGGGCAUUCAACAUUAUUGCCCUAGUAAAGAGAUAUCGCAGCGAAAUAGAGGCUCUAACAUGCUCGGUUAAUAAAUAUAUUAUAAGAAGUUAGCUCGGCAAAAUAGGAUCACCCAUCCUCCGCUCGCAUCGAUAGUAAUGUUGCCUAGUGAAAAACAGUCCAUUAGGUUCGAAUUUUAUUACUACUCAGAUCAGGCUAGAAAAACCCGAUCAUCGUUGUACCAAGAAGUAAAGCGGCGGUGAGUACCAUACGAGCAUAAGUGUAUGCUCAGCUGACAGGCGAGUAAGCAUCAUCCUGCUAGAGGUCGUCUCGAUCUCGAAGUGUACACAUCGAGUGUUUUGCGAGGAAAGACCAAGCUCACAUGCAAAUGAAUGCGAAAUAAAGAGUGGCGAUGCUCUUCACGUACUCGAAAAUGAGCAAUUCUAGCAUCAGAUGAAAUGUUGAAGGUAUGGACAAUACCUCGCAAGACAGUCGCCCACACCAGUGCCCUGCGUGCUGAGUCAGGGCGAAGACCUCUCUGCGCAUCUCCAGAUGCGCUGCCGUGCCCCUCAGUUUGCGCCUCCGUCCCGCGUAAUUGUGGUUGUUAAUUGUUAUGUACCCAGUUCAACGUUGUUCCUUGGAACCUUGUUGCUCACUAAUCUAUGGUUGAGCCUUGGCGACAGAGGAGGCUGUCCGUUCGGCGUCGGUCCGCCCUUCGAGUAGGGGGACCCCGGAGCCACGAAGCAGCUGCAGCUGGGGCUCCGCGGCUUCUGCGGGCGUGCAGGCAUGGGAGGAGACAGGGACUCCCCCUGAGACAUCCGCCACCUCCUAGGACACUGGCUUGCAGGGGAGCCACCUCGCACUGGCCACGAACGGAAACAGUGUCCUCCUCUGCGACCAUUCGCCAUCAACCGCUGAGCUUUGCCGGCAGAUGCACACAACGGUGGAUCGCCCCUCUGCUGAUUGCUCGAGGGCGCACUCUUUGCUCCCUGCUAGAGUGCGCGGAUGCUUUGGCGACCGGUUACUAUUGGAAAGGAGCCGCCGCACGUCUUAGAAUGGGAACGCUUUCUGUUCCCCAUCGCCUCCGAGGCCCUUUGCAGCUCGGACUCUCGUAGACUCGCUCUGGAUGACGAGGCUAUCGUCGCAAGCACUCCGUCAAAACACGUCAUCGUGCCAUGAGAAGCCCAGCAGCAUCCUGAUGUGGGUCUCGAAGCCCUCGCGAAGACUCUCGCCUUGUGCGCUCGUCAAAGUAGGCUCGAAUAGAGAGCAAGGGAUCAGCCUCCACCAUGGCGGAAGACGAAGUCCUGCUCGUAGCUUCAGCUACGGUACGUUCCCACUGCUGAAGAUGUUCUAAAGCUCCGCGCUCCGGCCCAGCCUCCAAAUUUUUGAGUUGUCCCGAAAGAAUUGCUUGGAUUGGAGAUCUCCGGAACUCCCCCCAGGGUUGGGAAAGGACGGCCCAGCUGUGAGCGAGGUAGAUGUCGGCAGCCACCAAAUAGAGCUGCGUCCGCCGGUCCGAGAAAGUGUGCGGCCAAGGACGCGGUACCUGGCUCAUCCGAUGAGUAUAAGUCGCUCUAAAGCUAGGUACUCUCACAAUGUCGGUCAGGUUCGAUGAGCAGGUCGCGUCGAUAGAAACUCCUAGUUCUCUUCCUUCUUACGCUCCACGCGUAUUCUUGCGGGUCGAAUUCCCAUGAACUCAUCCAGCUUCGCACAUGCAUAGCGGGCGCCUCUGCUGCGGGGUAAUUUGCAUCCUCAGCUGGAACCUCUGGUGGUCGUCCGUCGUCGUCGAGCUCAGCAAGCAGAUAAAGAUGGAACGGAGCCGAGGGCCGAGCUACCUAGUGCAGGCGCACCUGAGGAGGUGGUGGACUUCCUACGGAGACUCUAAGAGCAGGCAUGACCCAUUCCAGAACCGGCGGCGUCGGGGAAGGUAGUCGCUUAUAUGGGAACACAGCUCUAGGCGGUGUGCGGCUCGUAAGGACUAGCUGGCAUGAGUGCUGCGUCGGAAACCGCCGCCAUGUGGAAAGGAGUCGUCAUCCUGAAUCCCGUCCCGUCAUCACUGGAGGCUUUAGACCUCGAGUGGUGAGGCUCGAGCUGCUUCGAUAGCAGUGAGUAUCCGCCCUGCUGGAUGUGGAAUGUUUUUUUUUACUUUUCUGGUCGAUCUGCUCACCCUACUCCUGCCCUGCCCCACCUGCCUCUGCCGUUGCUCGGAGGCCUGCUCUUUUCCUAGGAGGCUAAUUGACUAAGAGCCCUCAUGGGCGACGGCGUCCAGAAAGUUUGAUGGAACUAGCUCCCACGAACUCACGGAAGAAGGUGGGUCCGCUACUCCACGAGCCAAUCUGUAACACAAAGCACGCGUCAGCACGAAUAAUCGAGACUCGACCAACUCCGCCUACGGACUUGAGGCCCACAGAAACUUGCACUCACGUGCGCUAUGAGUAUUUCGCCCGUAGUCCUGCCUAUGGGUCAACCUAACCAAUGGUUCAUUUCAUUGAUUUUUCGAAAACCAACCUGUGAAUGGUAGUCUCCCCCUGUAUUUUGAGCACGGUCGUCGUAGCACAAGUACAGAGGAGAUCUGUCCCGUCGUGAAGUGGAUUCCCUGUAAUUGUGCGAUCUGACAUACUCUGGGGUCAGGUAUUUGAGAAAAACAAAAACAAAUUAUUAGUCAUUUCGCGUCAUUUCCAAACGCGCAACAAGGACCUCAGGGGUGACAGAUUAAAGUGGUAUCAGAGCCGGUUCAUCAGCUGGACAUGUGUGGCGAGUCUCGCUAUGAGCCACGGGUCGGAUGACGGGCUAACGAGCGACGUCUUACAUCGCGCUGGUGAUCUUGGGCUGUGUGUGUUGUGGACUCGACAGACGUCAGGACUGCAGCUUAAACGGGGAGUCCUGGUGACACCGCCAUAUCAACAUCGAUGAAAUGGAAGGUGUUGUUUAUUCAGGAGUUGAUAAGCACGACUUAGACACUAGCUAAAUAAUAACUGGCUUAGAGCAUUUGGGGUCUGUGUUGGUAUCAUGGGCCAACGAGUUACUCUUAAUUAAGCUUAGUGAAGCUUGGGCCUGGUCGUUACAUUGGUAAUCAGUCAAGUCGAAUUCUUUCAGCUCAUCGAAGCUACUGCUAGACACCGUCGAUUUGUUCAUGAAGUUAUUGUCGUUUCGAACUGCGAAUGAUGACCUGUCGUUCGGAUUCAGUAAUACCGAUUUUGCUGGGAGUCCACCGGGUUAUACCCAAAGCUCUCCGAGCUUUGCCUCAAUGUAAAGCUUGUGAAGCGGUGUGCGAUUUUGGAGAAGGCUGCAACGAAUCGCAAGAUAAUACCUGCACUGCGCCAAACCCUAGAAAAACUCCGGACUUGGUCACCGAAAGUUUUGGUUCAAGACCAGCUACACCACGCGAGGCUAUCUUCUUCGGGUCCGACCGAAUCCACGCCGGAGUAGAAUAUGCCGUCUCUCAAGAAUGACCACGUAGCGACGUCACGGAGCAGAAAUCCACUUCUUGAGCUUAGCGUUACAACUGUGCCGCCGCUGAAGUAUCUGGCAAUUAGCUCUGUCGCGAGAUGAUCCUCAGGUGCUCCCUACAAUACUCCGCGAGUAGAUCAGGAGUCAUCAUGAAACCGACGACAGACACUGAUCCAGAUAAGCUCGGAAGCCCUGUCAUUCAUGUCGCAUAGAAGGCUGCGCGGAGGAUUGGUGAGCCCGAAAGGCACACCGUGAACUCGUAGUGGCCGUAACGAGUCCGGAAAGGCGGUCUUUCGGCACAUCCUCAGCCCGGAUCUUUAAGCUGAUGUAGCCUCCCGACCGCAAGAUCAUCCUUGGAGUUAGCACCGACGAUCCUUUGACAAGGCUGGUCAUGGUACGAAGCCUGAACUUUCCAGUACGCGCUUUCUCAUCUUUAGAGUGACGGUCAGGUCCAGAGCGACGUGCAUCCAGACUUCUUGUACGACAUGCUCUGGCGCAGAUCGCGUCUGGAUUACGGUGGAUCGGAUGGUCUCGGUAUUACCGUUGGUGGAGUUUCGCGACUAUAAUAAACAGCUUUCAGGGUCGACAUCGGGAUGGCACCAUACCGAGGCGUCUGUUAUGGGCGUUCGAUGUCGUUCUCAGCUAUCUGCUUGGCACGCAUGUCGAAGACCGCCGGUUAGUUAGGACUACUAGAUUUAGUAGGAGACGCCACAUGAGGCAAGAUCCGCAUUGGGCGAGAGAGCGGCUUCAGACCUGCAACAGAUAGAAUCCAAGGGGCGACUAGCGCGGCCCAGGCGGAGGCCGGAACCUAGAGUUUCAGUCGUGAGUCAUGUGCUGCUCAAGUGUCGCCUUCCAGGAUCAAUACGGUUUGUUUGCGGAACAAGCUUAUCGCGCUGGUUUCGGUGGGACCCGUUCUGAGAUCCUACGAGCUGCGUUGGUCCGGUGGGCUUACCAGAUUGCUCUCAUACCGCAGUCUCGCCCGAGUGCAGCAACGUUUUUUCACGUGUCCCAUGCUUCGGAUACCACAUCCCGAUCCGUCCCCACAUCAUUCAGUCGACACGCAUUCAGCUAUGCGGGAGGAUCUCGAGCUAUGCAGUGAGGCUCCCGUUGCACGAUCCUGGUCACGUGAGGUGAACGCAGUUGCCGGAAUAGGAGCAUAUCCGUAUUCAAGGUCCAGUGGAGGAGAAGCGCGACGAGAGGGCUGCGCCUGAGGCUACUGGGAGCUUGAAUGCGUCAUGGCGGUCGAUCAUUAUCCACAGUUAUUUUGCGAGGGACGUCCUUGUNNNNNNNNNNNNNNNNNNNNNNNNNACUAAUUAUAUAGUUCUAUUAUGCCGCCGGCGCAAUUGUUAUAUAUUUGGAACGAUCUUAAAUUUACAAGAACCAAAUCGGAACAACAAUUAGACUACUAAGUUGCGCACCUAACAUAUUAACUUUUGCAACGAGCACUUAUUUCUCAUUCUACAAACAAAGAGUAAAACCAUUAUAUUGCUUAUUAUGCCUCGAGACAGUGUAAAUUUGGAACGAAUCAGAAACUUGUCAACGUUCACAAGACAACAAACAUGGACGAAAAUUAGCACUACUCAGUUUGCGCGCAACAGUAUAACUUUUGAACGAGUAUUUUUCUUCAUUGAUCAAUAGAACAAAGAGUUAAAACCUAAGUAUAUUAUUUUUUAUACCUCCAUUCGUGCUAAAUCGUAGAACGAGGUCAAUGUCAACGUUCACAAGACCAAAAUCGGAACACAUAGACUACUCAGUUGGCACCAACAGAUAUGAACUUAUGCACACGAAUACUUUUUUCUAAUUCUAUCAACAAAGAAGUAAACCCCAUAUUAUAUUGUAUCUUAUGCCCCAGAGUGUAAAUUUGGAACGUAACCAGAUGGCAAGGUUCACGUAAGAACAAAAAACAGGAACAAAAUUAGAUACUAGUUGCGGCCAAAAAGUCUAACUUUGCAACGAGUAUUUUUUCUCAUUUCUAUUAUCAGAAAGAGGUAAAACCUAAUUAUAUAGUUCUAAUUUGCCUGGAGUGUAAACUUGGAACGAAUCAGAUUCGUCAACGUGAUUAAGAAGAAAAACCAGAAAACACAUUACACUACUCUGGUUUGCAGCACUAACAGUAUAACUGCGACGUAGUACUUUUGUCUCUUUCUAUCGAACAAAAAGUGAAACCUAAUUAUCAUUCUAUUAUGCCCGGGCGAGUGUAAAUUGUGGAAGAUCUUCAACGUUCACAAAAGAACCAAAUCGGAACAACAUGAGCACUACUCAUUGCGACCUAACGUUAUAACUUUGCAACGAGUACUUUUCUGAUUUCUAUCAACAAAGAGAUAAAACCUUUAAUUAUAUCGAUAUCUAUAGUCUCGAGAGUGUAAAUUGGACGAUAUCAGAGUCAAGUUCAGAAAGAAUCAAAGAUUCGGCGAAGAACAUUAGAUACUCAGUUUUGGCCCUAACAGUUAUACUUAAUGCAACGAUCUUUUUCUACGUUCUAUCAAACAAAGAGUAAAAUACUAAUUAUAUUAUUUAUUAUACGCUCGAGAGUGUGAAUUUGGACGAAGGUCAUAUCAACGUUCACAAGAACCAGCCGGGAGACCGGUCCUUGUCCGAGAGACCGGUUCCCGAGAGCAAUACUUUCGGGACUUAGCCAAAUUUCGGCUUCUCUCGCUGGGCCAACGUUCGGGAACCGGUCCCUGCCUGCUAGGGACAGGUCUCAUCAGAGACCCCCGCAGCCCAGCCUGAUGGGACCGGUCCCUCCCUGCCAGGGACCGGUCCCCGAGAGCAUUUCUUCUCCAGUGCAGCUUUUGCACGGGUGCUCUCGCGGACACCUCCUCAAUGCACCUUAUGCAUUGUGAUCACCUUCGGACUUUCCGAAGCUUGCACGCACGACAACCAGUCGAUCUUUGACGAAGUCUAAUCCUCGAGUUUCGAGAAUUCACUUCCCUUACACUCUCCCCACUUAAAAGAGUUUCGUCCUCGAAACGAACUCAACAAUAUUAAAUUCAUCCAGAAUACUCAUACCUCGGUGGCUCACUCAAACAAGUGAGGAUGAUUCGCUCUCAUCUCCUCCUCGAGCUCCCAGGUGGCUUCGCGGUCAGCAUGAUUGCUCCACUCUCAGGGCAUAAUAGAAUAAUAUAAUUAGGUUUUACUCUUUGUUCGAUAGAAUGAGAAAAAGUACUCGUUGCAAAGUUAUACUGUUUGGGCGCAACAGAGUAGUCUAUUGUUGUUCCGGUUUUCGUUAUUGUGAACGUCGACAUCGAUUCGUUCCAAAUUUACACUCUCGGAGUAUAAUAGAACUAUAUAAUUUGGUUUUACUCUUUAUUCAAUAGAAUGAGAAAAAGUACUCGUUGCAAAGUUAUACUGUUUGGGCGCAACUCAGUGGUCUAAUUUUGUUCCGGUUUUUGUUCUUGUGAACGUUGACAUCGAUUCGUUCCAAAUUUAUACUCUCGGGGCAUAAUAGCACAAUAUAAUUAGGUUUUACUCUUUGUUCGAUAGAAUGAGAAAAAGUACUCGUUGCAAAGUUAUACUGUUAGGGUGCUACUGAAUAGUUGAAUGUUGUUCCAAUUUUGAUUCAUGUGAACGUUGACAUCGAUUCGUUCCAAAUUUACACUCUCGGGGCAUAAUAAAAUAAUAUAAUUAGGGUUUACUCUUUGCCCGAUAGAAUGAGAAAAAGUACUCGUUGCAAAGUUAUACUGUUAGUGUGCAACUGAGUAGUCUAAUAUUGUUCCGGUUUUUGUUCUUCAGAUCGUUGAC